GAGUAACAACUCCUCUUCUGUGUGGCAGCCACGUCUCUGUAGGGUUGAGAGAACAUUCCUCUGUAUAGCCGCAAUGCCACUAAAGAAGAAACCUAAAACCAAAGAAGAAAUAAAAGAGCAGAAACGAAUUGCAGAAAGAUUAAGAUAUCAGAUAUCAAAAAAUGGAUAUCUGAGAAACAAAC